CUAAUAGCACUAGAAAAUUAAGGCCUCUAAGAAACCACAGAACAGGUGUAGCACAGGACAUGACAGUAUUGUCUGAGUAUUGUCCCAACAAUGUACCUCAUCUAGUUUCUAGGAGUGAGAGGGCAAUUCAUUCUCCUUGCCCAUUCAUCCUUGGCCUCU
rnacentral:sRNA from 1 species